AUUGAACGCUGGCGGCAGGCCUAACACAUGCAAGUCGAACGAGUGGCGGACGGGUGAGUAAUGUCUGGGAAACUGCCUGAUGGAGGGGGAUAACUACUGGAAACGGUAGCUAAUACCGCAUACCCUCGGAUGUGCCCAGAUGGGAUUAGCUAGUAGGUGGGGUAAAGGCUCACCUAGGCGACGAUCCCUAGCUGGUCUGAGAGGAUGACAAGCCACCCGGGAACGGAGACACGGUCCAGACUACGACGGGAGGCAGCAGUGGGGAAUAUUGCACAAUGGGAGUAAGCCUGAUGCAGCCAUGCCGCGUGUAUGAAGAAGGCCGUCGGGUUGUAAAGUAAUUGCAGCGGGGAGGCGGUACCCGAAGAAGAAGCACCGGCUAACUCCGUGCCAGCAGCCGCGGUAAUAC
rnacentral:rRNA from 1 species